GGUAAUAUAAUACUCCGCCCUGGAAUACAUUCGCCUCAUUCUUCGAGGCUAUAGAUCGACGAGAUGAUACGUUCUACGUAGUUUCAUUCAGCGGGGAUCAUCUUCUGGUUCCAGCCUCAAACCAUAGUCAGGCAACAAGGCCCAGAAUGUCUCUUCUGCUGCCUGCAAUUUCUCUCUCCCUGAAUGACUCUCAUAUCUCCCCUGGAAAUAUUGCAAUGAUGAAGAUAGAUUGUGAAGUUAUGAAUACACAACUUAUUCAAGUUAAACAGGACUCGAUACCGGCCCAUAUGGCGGCCAAUUUGCGACCUGGAAACCUUAGCAGCGGUGGGUCAAACUAUACUGCUAAACAGAACCA